GAUCUAUAGUUCCUUUUACAAGGUUUCUUUAUAGUGACAGACACCCUAAUGGCUUUAGAUAGUCUAACUUGCGCUUGCUUAGAUUUUAAUUUUGAUGUUCAAAACAGUCUGAUUUUUGCCCUAAUUUAUUUCUCCGAUUUCCCAGCAGUUUAUGCUGUGGACUUAGGCCUCAAGGCUUUGUGAGUCCCCCACUAGCUGCCAAUCUUUAUGUACACUGGAAUUUUUCUUGAGUCCCCCAACUAAUGGUUGCCACCCAUGCAGACCCCAAUACAACUACAGAGACCUCCGUGAAACUGCAGAAUCCUUCAGGGAACUUAAACUCUAGAACCUUUCUAGGGCCUCAGAACACUUCUGCUAAGCAACCCACAAUCAUUCCAUGGCUGUAGAACCUUUCUGAGAGCAUUCUGAUCCAACCAUAUAAAGUUUGGAUCAGAGAACUGCAUGCGAAGGACCAAAGCUCACAUUUUUGACCUACCCAGGCUUCCGUAGUGCAGAGAAGCCGCUUAAACUUAAAAGGGUUCUCAGCCCUGGCUCUGUGCGGGAGCUUUCUCUGUGCGCCUGGUCCUGCCGGCCUGGUAAUAGCAGGAUUGGGAUCCCGUUCCUCGUCACCAAAAACUUAAGAAAUGAAUUUAAAGAAGACCGUUUAUAUGCUGAGAAUUGCAAAAUGAGGCAAAAGGCAGGAAGCUUUUAUAGGGUAAAGAAUGAAGAACGAGGAAAAAGAAAAUACCUGACUGGCAGGGGCUACACAGCCAGCCUUGUUUGGAGUGAGAAGAAACCAGGAAAUAUGUAUGGGACCUAGCGUUGGUUUGGCGUUGGCGGAUUUGUUUAACUGAAUAUACUGUGUUUCUGGUCAAGCGGAGCAUUUACGGGAACCUGAAAGUUCAGUUUGCCGACAUCACACCCUGGGCAGGAGCAGCUCCAUCUUGGGCCUAGAAACUUCUUCCAACCCUGGUUGCAGAACAUCGAUUAACCAGAAAUACAUUACCAGAUCAAAGUGAUUUAAUGUUCCACCUACCUGCGGUCAACCACUGACCAGAAGCAGAUGGUCCUACUUCUGAUUUAUCAUCAAAAGGUUAGUAAUAGCCUGAGGUUUCAUCACAACGCCCUGUUUAUUCACUUCACUUCAUCUCAUCAGGUAAGCAUUUUUCAUCUCACGUCAUCACGAGAAGAAGGGUGAGUACAGUAUAAUAAAAUAUUUUGAGAGAGAAACCACAUUCACAUAACUUUAAUUAUACUAUAUUGUUAUAAUUGUUCUAUUUUAUUUAUUGUUGCUAAUAUAUUACUGUGCCUAAUUUGUAAAUUAAAUUUUUUCAUGUAUAGAAAGAAACAUAGUAUACAUAGGGUUUGGUACUAUCCAUGAUUUGAGGAUUUGGAGGAUAAUGCCCAUGGGUAAGUGUGGAGUAUUGUAUAUGGCACAAGAAGUAUCUGGAAUACAUAUUGAUUCUAAAGGUGGCUGUAAAAAUAAUUUAUUCAGUUAAUAACACAUUGAGCUGCUUUUGUGAAUGAUCUACUUUUGUGAAUUUAUUGUUAAUGAGGACUUGAAUUGGUUUUAAAAUGUGAAAUUCCAGGGGUGCCUGGGUGGUUCAGUUGGUUAAGCAUGGGACUUCUGUUCAGGUCAUAAUGUUGGAGUUCGUGGGUUUGAGCCCUGCAUCAGGC